CCUACGGGAGGCUGCAGUGAGGAAUAUUGGUCAAUGGGCUAAGGCCUGAACCAGCCAAGUCGCGUGAGGGCAGACGGUCCUAUGGAUUGUCAACCUCUUUUGUCGGGGAGCAACGAGGCCACGUGUGGCCGAAGUGAGAGUACCCGACGAAAAAGCCUCGGCUAACUCCGUGCCCGCCGCCGCGGUAAUACGGAGGAUGCGCGCGUUUACCGGAUUUCUUGGGUUUAAAGGGUGCGUAGGCGGAACAUUCAGUCAGCGGUAAAAUCGAGGGGCUCAACCCCUUUAAGCCGUUGAGACUGGUUAUCUUGAUUGGGCGAGAAGUAUGCGGAAUGCGUGGUGUAGCGGUGAAAUGCAUAGAUAUCACGCAGAACUCCGAUUGCGAAGGCAGCAUACCGGCGCCCGACUGACGCUGAGGCACGAAAGCGUGGGGAUCGAACAGGAUUAGAUACCCGGGUAGUC
rnacentral:rRNA from 1 species